GACGAACGCUGGCGGCGUGCCUAACACAUGCAAGUCGAACGGAACUGUUUUGAAAGAUUUCUUCGGAAUGAAUUUGAUUUAGUUUAGUGGCGGACGGGUGAGUAACGCGUGAGUAACCUGCCUUCAAGAGGGGGAUAACAUUCUGAAAAGAAUGCUAAUACCGCAUGACAUAUCGGAAUCACAUGAUUUUGAUAUCAAAGAUUUUAUCGCUUGAAGAUGGACUCGCGUCCGAUUAGUUAGUUGGUGAGGUAACGGCUCACCAAGACCGCGAUCGGUAGCCGGACUGAGAGGUUGAACGGCCACAUUGGGACUGAGACACGGCCCAGACUCCUACGGGAGGCAGCAGUGGGGGAUAUUGCGCAAUGGGGGCAACCCUGACGCAGCAACGCCGCGUGAAGGAUGAAGGUUUUCGGAUUGUAAACUUCUUUUAUUAAGGACGAAACUUGACGGUACUUAAUGAAUAAGCUCCGGCUAACUACGUGCCAGCAGCCGCGGUAAUACGUAGGGAGCAAGCGUUGUCCGGAUUUACUGGGUGUAAAGGGUGCGUAGGCGGCUUUGCAAGUCAGAUGUGAAAUCUAUGGGCUCAACCCAUAAACUGCAUUUGAAACUGUAGAGCUUGAGUGAAGUAGAGGCAGGCGGAAUUCCCCGUGUAGCGGUGAAAUGCGUAGAGAUGGGGAGGAACACCAGUGGCGAAGGCGGCCUGCUGGGCUUUAACUGACGCUGAGGCACGAAAGCGUGGGUAGCAAACAGGAUUAGAUACCCUGGUAGUCCACGCUGUAAACGAU
rnacentral:rRNA from 1 species